GUUAUCCCAGGAGGCUGCCUUCGCCAUCGGUGUUCCUCCGCAUAUCUACGCAUUUCACUGCUACACGCGGAAUUCCACCUCCCUCUGACACACUCUAGCUCGGUAGUUAAAAAUGCAGUUCCAAAGUUAAGCUCUGGGAUUUCACAUCUUUCUUUCCGAACCGCCUGCGCACGCUUUACGCCCAGUAAUUCCGAUUAACGCUUGCACCCUACGUAUUACCGCGGCUGCUGGCACGUAGUUAGCCGGUGCUUAUUCUGCAGGUACCGUCAGUUUCACGGGGUAUUAGCCCAUGACGUUUCUUUCCUGCCAAAAGUGCUUUACAACCCGAAGGCCUUCAUCGCACACGCGGGAUGGCUGGAUCAGGGUUUCCCCCAUUGUCCAAAAUUCCCCACUGCUGCCUCCCGUAGGAGUCUGGGCCGUGUCUCAGUCCCAGUGUGGCUGGUCGUCCUCUCAAACCAGCUACGGAUCGUCGCCUUGGUGAGCCGUUACCCCACCAACUAGCUAAUCCGAUAUCGGCCGCUCUAAUAGUGCAAGGUCUUGCGAUCCCCUGCUUUCCCCCGUAGGGCGUAUGCGGUAUUAGCUACGCUUUCGCGUAGUUAUCCCCCGCUACUAGGCACGUUCCGAUACAUUACUCACCCGUUCGCCACUCGCCACCAGACCGAAGUCCGUG
rnacentral:rRNA from 1 species